CCGAGUCCCGACGCUCUCCCCCCAGUGCCGGGACUCUCCCAGAGCCGGGCUUCGGCGCCUCCCCCCCCCGGCGCCGGAGCCCGGCUCCUUU
rnacentral:ncRNA from 1 species